UACAGAGGGUGCAAGCGUUGUUCGGAAUUAUUGGGCGUAAAGCGCGUGUAGGCGGCUUUGUAUGUCGGGUGUGAAAGCCCUCGCUUAACCGAGGAAGUGCGCCCGAAACUGCAGAGCUUGAGUGCCGGAGAGGGUGGCGGAACACCCGGUGUAGAGGUGAAAUUCGUAGAUAUCGGGAGGAACACCGGUGGCGAAGGCGGCGACCUGGGUAGAUACUGACGCUGAGGUGCGAAAGCGUGGGGAGCAAACAGG
rnacentral:rRNA from 1 species